rnacentral:rRNA from 1 species
GACGAGGGACCUAGCGUUGUUCGGAAUCAUUGGGCGUAAAGCGGGUGUAGGCGGGCUUCUAAGUCAGGUGUGAAAUCCCCAGGGCUCAACCCUGGAAGUGCACCUGAUACUGGAAGUCUUGAAUGUGGUAGAGGCUAUUAGAAUUCUUGGUGUAGUGGUGAAAUACGUAGAUAUCAAGAGGAAUACCGGAGGCGAAGGCGGAUAGCUGGGCCAACAUUGACGCUGAGACCCGAAAGCGUGGGGAUCAAACAGG